rnacentral:rRNA from 1 species
AGAGUUUGAUCAUGGCUCAGAACGAACGUUGGCGGCGUGGAUUAGGCAUGCAAGUCGCGGGAAUCCCAGCAAUGGGGGAACCGGCGUAAGGGGCAGUAAGGCGUGGGUACCUACCCCGGGGUCCGGGAUAGCCGUCCGAGAGGGCGGGUAAUACCGGAUGACCUCGGGAGAGCAAAGCUCCGGCGCCCUGGGAGGGGCCCACGUGAUAUUAGCUGGUUGGUGAGGUGACGGCUCACCAAGGCGGAGAUGUCUAGCGGGUGUGAGAGCACGACCCGCGCCACUCGCACUGAGACACUGGCGAGACACCUACGGGUGGCUGCAGUCGAGGAUCUUCGGCAANNNGCGCAAGCGCGACCGAGCGACGCCGCGUGGGCGAUGAAGGCCUUCGGGUUGUAAAGCCCUGUCGAGGGGGAGAAAAGCUCGCAAGAGUGUGAUCUAUCCCUGGAGGAAGCUCGGGCUAAGUUCGUGCCAGCAGCCGCGGUAAGACGAACCGAGCGAACGUUGUUCGGAAUCACUGGGCUUAAAGGGCGCGUAGGCGGGCUGCCAAGUUUGGGGUGAAAUCCUCCGGCUCAACCGGGGAAGGGCCUUGAAUACUGGCGGUCUGGAGGGGGGUAGGGGCGUGCGGAACUAACGGUGGAGCGGUGAAAUGCGUUGAUAUCGUUAGGAACUCCGGUGGCGAAGGCGGCACGCUGGACCCUCACUGACGCUGAGGCGCGAAAGCCAGGGGAGCGAACGGGAUUAGAUACCCUAGUAGUCC